rnacentral:rRNA from 1 species
AGGACGAACGCUGGCGGCGUGCUUAACACAUGCAAGUCGAGCGGAAAGGCCUUUCGGGGUACUCGAGCGGCGAACGGGUGAGUAACACGUGAGUAAUCUGCCCAUCGCUUCAGGAUAGCCAUCGGAAACGGUGAUUAAUACUGGAUAUGACAUUCCUUCGCAUGUUGGGGUGUGGAAAGUUUUUUCGGCGGUGGAUGUGCUCGCGGCCUAUCAGCUUGUUGGUGGGGUAAUGGCCUACCAAGGCUUUGACGGGUAGCCGGCCUGAGAGGGUGACCGGCCAACGACGUGGGACUGGAGACACGGCCCAGACUCCUACGGGAGGUAGCAGUGGGAAUAUUGGACAAUGGGCGAAGCCUGAUCCAGCAACGCCGCGUGAGGGAUGACGGCCUUCGGGUUGUAAACCUCUUUCAGCACAGACGAAGUUUGCUUUUUGGUGAAGUUGACGGUAUGUGCGAGAAGAAGGACCGCCGAACUACGUGCCAGCAGCCGC